rfam:Schistosoma haematobium scaffold1039_2, whole genome shotgun sequence.
AUCCAGCUGAAGAAUCCCAAAUAGGUCGAAGCGCACGUCGUGGAU